AUAAAUAUAUCUAUAUUGACCCUUUAUCCCCUCAAAAAUUCAUUUUCUGAAACCCAAUUUCUCCCAACUCUUCUCCUCUCUCGCACUCGCCCAAAUCUUGCUCAGCCAUGACUUCAUAGAAAACAAAGAGAGUAAUGGCCAUGGCGACGACGUCGGUGGAUUCUCCGAAGUCUGACCCGGACACUAACACUGAGCUCGAUACCAAUCCAAACCUUAACCCUAACCCUAAUUCUUCAAACCCGUUAGUCCCCGCCUCCUCCAAUGGCCCUGCUGUCUGCCUUCUCAAGUUUGUCGGAGACUCCACUGGUGGGGCAUUCAUGGGCUCCAAUUUUCUCUACUCUAUCUCUCUCUAUCUCUCUCUAUCUCUCUCUCUCUCUCUCUCUCUCUCUAUAUAUAUAUAUAUAUACAUAUACAUGCUUAUGGAGUGUUUGCUUUAAUUCCUUAAUUGUGGUGUUUCUAUAUGGGAAUUUGAGUGGUGCUGAUAUAGAAUUUUGAGUGUUUGACAAAAUAUGAUUUUCGUUUAUAGUGUUUUGGGCUUUGCGAAAGGGAGUGAAUUUUCUCUUUCUGACUAACGAGGUGUUGGAGUUUUUGGUGGGUUUUGUUUAGUGUUGCUAAUGGUUGAGGUAUGCUAGUGUUCUGAGAUGUGAAACUGUGGUUUUCUCUAAUGGUUGAGGUAUGCUAGUCUUUUGUAUUUUUCAGUUUGUAUCAUGUGGGUUUCUGUUGAAUAUUGAUAUAGUGAUUCUUAAUAUGCUUUCGGAUAUGUUUUGUACUGAAAUUCUUUAUAUGAAGUGUAUGAAUUUUGAAUUCGAAAUUGUUGCAUUUGCCUUAUCAAACCGGAUAUGGAUGCAAAUAGGUCUUGUUGUGAUUGAUUUUGUUAUAUAUGUUUGUGAGUAUUGUUUGUUGUGGGUUCCAAAUUUUAAAAGUGCUAUGAUUUUGUUAUAUAGAUGUGUUUGUUUGGUUUUUGGAAAUUUUGAGUUGGCUGCCUUGAUGUAGUUUGAUUGUGUUGGUUUUGUUUUGGUAUGCAAGCAUACUUGAAAAUCUGUAACCUUUUGAGAAGCCUCCAACUUAGUCUCUGCAGCAUAAACCCAUAAAUAAGCAUAUAUCUUGUAGAUGACUACAAAGUCAGAGCCUUUUCUUAUUUUUGUGGCAUCAGAUCAGCCUGUGAAUGUUUUAGCACUAGAAUAUCAGAUAAUUCAAUUCAAUUGGAAGAUUCUAUCAGCCUUAAACAUUAGUCUUGUGUUUAUUUUUGUAUUUUAAUAUAAUUGAAAAUCUGGAAUUUGUGAGAAUUGUUUUUUUUUUUGCUUGCUAAAACCCCUUACUGUGGUUAAGGCUAUCAAGUAGGCUAUGUGUUGGGUCAUUUAGGCUGAGUGUGUGGCUAUAGUUGCAUGAAAUCUGGGAUGUGUAGAAACUGUCUUUUACAUAUCAGGGAUCAGGGAUCAGGGAUCGAACUUCAUUGGCCAUCUGGGACCAGCACCUUCAUUCAGGGGGGAGACCAUGCCCACCCUCCAAAAGCCUACAUAAAGGAGUAACAGAAGGAAUAGAAAAGGACGCAUCAACAACAACAACCCGCCAUACCCAUUGCCACCAGGUUUUCUUUUGGUUUUGAAAGCCCGUAAAGAAGCUAUGAAUUCCUUGAGCGGCAAUGGUUCUGAAAAACGAGGAAUGGUUGCAACAGUAGAUGCUGCAAAUUCAACUGCUUUGGAGAUGUUUUUUACAGUAUAGUUUGUUAAUAAACAUGCUCUGGUUUCAUUGUACUUUAUCAGUUUCAAACCAUGUAUUGCCCAAUGUAUUAUUGCCCAUGUAUAUAGGCCAAUGUAUUGCCCAUGUAUAUUGCCCA